GGUUCAUUUCCCAGGGUUCCACCUGAGACUUCAGGUUUAUUUCCCAGGGUUCCACCUGAGACUUCAGGUUAAUUUCCCAGGGUUCCACCUGAGACUUCAGGUUUAUUUCCCAGGGUUCCACCUGAGACUUCAGGUUUAUUUCCCAGGGUUCCACCAGGUUUAUUUCCCAGGGUUCCACCUGACACUUCAGGGUCAUCCUGUCAAGUUCAUGUGUUAUGAGAUUAUGAGAUCAUUGUACUAAAUAUGACCCUCAUGUUUGUUAUAUUGAUUAGAUAUUCUCUUCCGUCCAAUGUUUACAAACCUGUUUGUGCUUACUGUGACAUUUCCAUUGUAUUUUUGUAAAUAAACUACAUAUUAUAAUUUAA